rnacentral:rRNA from 1 species
AUUGAACGCUGGCGGCAUGCCUUACACAUGCAAGUCGAACGGUAACGCGGGGCAACCUGGCGACGAGUGGCGAACGGGUGAGUAACGCAUCGGAACGUGCCCAGUAGUGGGGGAUAGCCCGGCGAAAGCCGGAUUAAUACCGCAUACGACCUACGGGUGAAAGGGGGGGAUCGCAAGACCUCUCGCUAUUGGAGCGGCCGAUGUCAGAUUAGGUAGUUGGUGGGGUAAAGGCCUACCAAGCCUGCGAUCUGUAGCUGGUCUGAGAGGACGACCAGCCACACUGGGACUGAGACACGGCCCAGACUCCUACGGGAGGCAGCAUUGGGGAAUUUUGGACAAUGGGCGCAAGCCUGAUCCAGCGAUGCCGCAGGCGGGAAGAAGGCCUUCGGGUUGUAAACCGCUUUUGUCAGGGAAGAAAAGCCUUGGGUUAAUACCCUGGGGUGAUGGCGGUACCUGAAGAAUAAGCACCGGCUAACUACGUGCCAGCCGCCGCAGUAA